rnacentral:lncRNA from 1 species
UGAGAUCAUAGCUCUUUGACCGGGGGUCAAACCCUCACCCCCAGCACUGGGAAGGCAAACUCUUAACCGCUAGACUGCCAGAGAAGUCCCUUAACUCCUUGCUUUAUUCUAACUACUCCCCUCAAGAAGGGCCCAACUUUCUAGAUCAAGCAGUUUCCUGGUUGUCACACCAUAGUCAAGGCCGGCCUGCCAAGGAGGGAGCCACUUCUGCUGCCUAGGACCUGUAUGGAGAUGUCUCACCGUGGAGGAAGGAGGGGACACUUUGAGCUGGGUGUAGAAGAAUCAGUCGGAUCCUGUCAUCCAGAUAAAGGUGAGUAGGAGGGAUAUUU